CCCGGGUGCUGGAUGUCCCGGGCUAAGCACAAAGAUGGCAAUGUUGGCAAAUCCGCAUUGUAUUAACAUUGAAGUGUGAAAAUAGGGGAGUGAACGGUUCGCCUAGUAACGAAGUAUAUGACUCCAUGCUUCCAAGAAAAGCUUCUAACUUAAUAAUUAACUGCCUGUACCUAGAACGAACACACGUGGUCAAGGAGAAAAUCCUAAGGCAAGCGAGAUAACUGUAGCUAAGGAACUCUGCAAAAUAACUCCGUAACUUCGGAAGAAGGAGUGCUUAUCUAUGAUAAGCCGCAGUGAAGAGGGAGGGGCAACUGUUUAACAAAAACACAGCUCUCUGCUAAGUCGCAAGACGAUGUAUAGGGGGUGACACCUGCCCAGUGCCGGAAGGUUAAAAGGAGAAGUCAGCGCAAGCGAAGCUUUGAAUUGAAGCCCCGGUGAACGGCGGCCGUAACUAUAACGGUCCUAAGGUAGCGAAAUUCCUUGUCAGGUAAAUUCUGACCCGCACGAAAGGUGUAAUGAUCCCUUCGCUGUCUCGGCUGCAGACUCGGUGAAAUUUUAGUACCGGUGAAGAUGCCGGUUACCCGCAACUAGACGGAAAGACCCCGUGGAGCUUUACUAUAACUUGAUAUUGAAAUUUGGUAUGACGUGUAGAGGAUAGGUGGGAGACUAUGAGACUAGGACGCUAGUUCUAGUGGAGUCAACCUUGGAAUACCACCCUCGUUAUAUUGGAUUUCUAACUUAGAUCCAUUAUCUGGAUUAAGGACAGUGUCUGGUGGGUAGUUUGACUGGGGCGGUCGCCUCCCAAAAAGUAACGGAGGCGCUCAAAGGUAUCCUCAGUAUGGUUGGAAAUCAUACAUAGAGCGCAAAG
rnacentral:rRNA from 1 species